UGGAUCACCUCCUAACAGGGAUACAAUAACUAAUCGUGAUGUCUGAGUAAUUUAUUCUCAGGCCAUGAUUCUGUCAUCUCUAAGGUCGAUCGGUACCUCAAUUUGAGAAGCAGUGAAGGGUUGGGCAACCAACCUGGAGAUUGGUGAAUCAAUUUCAGUUCCUAAACUUUGUCUAGGUCACCCCAAAGCGGGUUACACUCCUGGGCCAUUAGCUCAGGUGGUUAGAGCGCACCCCUGAUAAGGGUGAGGUCCCUGGUUCAAGUCCAGGAUGGCCCAUUCGCGUUUGGGGGUUUAGCUCAGUUGGUAGAGCGCCUGCUUUGCAAGCAGGAUGUCAGCGGUUCGAGUCCGCUAACCUCCAUCCAAUGUUUGCUCAGCCUUCAAGCCAAACCAGUUAUGCCAUUGCAUAGAAACUAAGUGUGCCGCAGAGCACUACAGCAGGGAACUACAGCAUGGCAGCUCAGCAGGGGAGUGGAGCCGUGUAGGUGAUCUGGAAAAUUUGCUGUUGAUUUCAGCUUCUUUCCAUCGAUAGGAUGGAAGGACGCUGGAUUCAUAAUUGCCCCUUAAUUGGGGCAGUGUGUAUUUCAGCAGAACCUUGACAACUGUAUAGGAAAGUCUGGAAAUAAAGCAUCUCAUGGAUGCUUGAUUUUUAGCCCGGUCGCUGGUUCAGCAAUGACUGGAGGAGGGAGAAGAAUCAAGAAAAUUCUAUUGAGUUUUAAGAGCCGAGAGCUUUCAGUUUUCUUACCUGUCCGCCGAGGACAAGUGAGUUUGAUCCUGGCAUUCAACCCGCAUUAGUUUCCAUAAGUAAUUAUGGAGUCUGGUGUAGGUGAAUCCAGCGAGAAUCGGCCUCAACAGCCGCGCGUAGCUCGAGAAAUCGAAGCUGCCAAGAACUGGAAGUAUAAAUUGGUCAAGCUACAAAGGG
rnacentral:tRNA from 1 species